CCAACGGUACUUUUCAGUGCCACCAAAAAUUUAAUGAAAGAGCACCU
rfam:Danio rerio chromosome 5, GRCz11 reference primary assembly.